GGGCAGCCACUUUAUUCAACCCGGAAAAUUGGCCUUAGCUUUACGAACAUUGGGAAAUGUCAAAUAACUUAAAACUUACCAUUAACGCUGCACAAGCCACAAACAAGACGGACAGGGCCAUUCACCACCACUUGAAUUGCAGCGUUCUCUACGAACGACUAAUUUCAGACUGAUGUGACAGAAGGCUAGCAAAGUCAGGCUCCACAUCCUGAUUGGAAAUAACCUCGAGAAUGAUCUUCUGGUAUGGCGAAGAUAGUAGUCCUAACUUAUACGAGAAAGGGAUAGUUCUUCCGGUUGGCCUGAUUGAACCCUCGAGAACGGGGUACAUCUUUAGCCGGAUGCAAAACUUAUAAACCUACGAAAUGAUAAGAUGUUGCUGCCGGUCGGUUAUUAUUUUUUCCCGCUGGCGGCGCUUGCUUCAGUAUGGGCAAGCUGAUUGGAAUAGCUGCUAAAUGUCAACAACGAUAAACUGGAUUCCUGAACUUUGCAAAUACGUACACUUUAAGAAAAGUAACACCUUUCAACAAUUUAUCCCAAGUCCAGAAAAGUCCCAUUAACUAAGUGGUUCACCGACCUUGUAAUUCUCCCAACUAUUAUCAUGCUCUGUCAAGUUUACAUAUGAAUCCAUUAGUUCUCUCUGAACUCAACUUGCCGAUGCGCAAUGCUACCCCUUAAUCUCUUCUACCAGGAUUGGCAAUGUCAUUCGCUAGAUAAUUUAAUGCAAUAAGCUAUAUU